GCAUCGAUGAAGAACGCAGCGAAAUGCGAUACGUAGUGUGAAUUGCAGAAUUCCGUGAACCAUCGAAUCUUUGAAUGCAUAUUGCGCCUGGUGCCCCGUUUGGUGGCACCAGACAUGUCUGCCUCAGCGUCGUGAUGGACCCUUGGGCCUCCUUAUUUAUAAGGUUGGCACAGAUCUGGCUUUCUCAGUGAUUAAUUAAUGGCGCAAGCCUGUUGUCGCUGGGUUCGCUGAAGCUCAGAGACUCGAUUCAAGGACCCAUACCAAAGGGACAAUAGCUGGUUAGGCUUUCAAUUAAGCUACUUGCUGGUGUCCUGGGACUUUGAAUAUACAGAGUCAGCAGGAAAACAAUCAUCUUUUUGACCUGAGUUCAGGCAAGGCUACCCGCUGAACUUAAGCAUAUCAAUAAGCGGAGGA
rnacentral:rRNA from 1 species